CGUUCGCCUGGGGACUACGAGCACUAGCUUAAAACCCAAAGGACUUGGCGGUGCUUUAGAUCCACCUAGAGGAGCCUGUUCUGGAACCGAUAACCCCCGUUUAACCUCACCCUCCCUUGCUUAUUCCGCCUAUAUACCGCCGUCGUCAGCUUACCCUGUGAAGGCAGCAUAGUAAGCAAAACCAGUACAACUCAAAACGUCAGGUCGAGGUGUAGCAUACGGGAGGGGAAGAAAUGGGCUACAUUCUCUGGUUAAGAGAAUACGGAUAAUGACAUGAAAAAUCAUUUGAAGGAGGAUUUAGUAGUAAGCAAAAAGCAGAGUGUUUUGCUGAAACCGGCCCUGAAGCGCG
rnacentral:rRNA from 1 species